rnacentral:rRNA from 1 species
AUACGGAGGGUGCAAGCGUUACUCGGAAUCACUGGGCGUAAAGCGCGCGCAGGCGGUCUUUUAAGUUGGAUGUGAAAGCCUACGGCUCAACCGUAGAACUGCAUCCAAAACUAUUAGACUAGAGUGUGGGAGAGGAAGAUGGAAUUAGUUGUGUAGGGGUAGAAUCCGUAGAGAUAACUAGGAAUACCAAAAGCGAAGGCAAUCUUCUGGAACACUACUGACGCUGAGGCGCGAAAGCGUGGGGAGCAAACAGGAUUAGAAACCCUAGUAGUCC